rnacentral:lncRNA from 1 species
UUUCCUUACAGCACUCCGUACGUUGAAACUCCCCGAUUCCUCACUUUCGUCCCUCUGAAUCCUAAAUACCUGUCUGAAAUUCCUUUCCUGUGGCAUCACCGUCUUAGCCAAGAAGGCUUCGGAAGAAGCUGAGACUGAAGCACACCAGCAGAGCUUCAGGACAAACAAGACAGAAUCUGCUGAAGGCGGUGAGAUGGAGAUGAGGAAAAUCAUGACAAAAGAAGGAAAUAGGAGAAAAGCAUAUUUGCUCCAGACAUGAUCCUAAUUACUUUCUUUUCUUCUCCGUUGCUGUUUUUGCUUCCAUUGGUUUAAAAAUAAAAUGUCCUGGUUUAGCUCUCA